rnacentral:rRNA from 1 species
CAAAGGAAGUUGACGGGGCCCGGCGACAAGCGGUGGAGUAUGUGGUUAAUUCGAUGCAACGCGAAGAACCUUACCUGGUCUUGACAUCCCGGAGACCCUUAGGAAACUAGGGGGUGCUUCCAUCUGGAAGAAUCUGGAGACAGGUGCUGCAUGGCUGUCGUCAGCUCGUGUCGUGAGAUGUUGGGUUAAGUCCCGCAACGAGCGCAACCCUUGCCUUUAGUUGCCAGCAGUUCGGCUGGGCACUCUAAAGGGACUGCCGGUGUUAAACCGGAGGAAGGUGGGGAUGACGUCAAGUCCUCAUGGCCUUUAUGACCAGGGCUACACACGUACUACAAUGGCCGAUACAAAGGGCAGCGACACUGCGAGGUGAAGCCAAUCCCGUAAAAUCGGUCUCAGUCCGGAUUGGAGUCUGCAACUCGACUCCAUGAAGUUGGAAUCGCUAGUAAUCGUGGAUCAGCAUGCCACGGUGAAUACGUUCCCGGGCCUU